GGUCACGCUGCACACCAGUAGGCGGUGAUUGGCCCUGGGCGGUGCAAUCGCAACUUGUGCGUCACUACGCCGCCAGCUGAUCGGAGACUGGAGCCGGUGUGUGCUGGGCGCUGGGAAGAGAGCGCCGCCGGCCGUGGGGCACGGACGCACUGAUUUGCUCCCCUGUCCUCAGCACCCCCCGCACACACCCAGCACCAGGAGCCUGUACCUCCCACACCCUCACCUGGCUGAGCCGCAGUAGUUCUUCAGUGGCAAGCUUUAUGUCCUGACCCAGCUAAAGCUGCCAGUUGAAGAACUGUUGCCCUCUGCCGCUGGCUUCAAGGAGGAGAAGGAGCUGCUUUCCCGCUCAUCUGGAAGGUGACAGAACUGGGGCUGGGAAGGUCUGAACAGCAGGAGUGAUCAUGGUGAGGUCCAGAAGUAAGCUUGCCUCUUCCUGCCAUCUCAGUAGUCAUACCUCUGCUCUUAACCUUUCCCUGCAUUUCCUUAGACUGGCC